ACCAGCUGCUCACCUUAAAGUCAAAGGUAGCGCUCCCUCUCCCUGGGAAGUUCUGCCGGCCCGACAUCUACGGGAGACAGCGCUGGCGCCGGGUCCAGUACCUCGCCAAUCAGUUUUGGCAGCGCUGGCGGAGAGAGUUCCUUCCGUCUCUCCAGGAGCGACGAAAGUGGCAUCAUCCAGAGCCGAACAUCAGUCAGGACGACAUCGUCAUUGUCGUCGACGAGGACACUCCACGCAACAGGUGGCCGCUCGCACGAGUGGUCGACGCGCACACAGGUGCCGACGGUCUAGUGAGGAGUGUGCGUGUGCGCAUUGGCAACAGUGAAUAUGACAGACCCGUCCACAAACUGAUUCUCCUCGUGAAGAGCGGGGAUGGAGAUUCCGCGACGGGGAGCCGUUGUGCUGAGUAGCGUGAUUUGGUCGGAGCGCGACCGAUAAAACCGAGACGCUUGUGAGCGCUGAUACCCGGUCUGAACUUUGGUGCAUUGUGCUCCGCUGUGCGGAUGGCAGUACGACGGCGCCCGUGUUUCAUAUUGCUAUGUCAGAAGUGAUAUUUCGUUACUUUCUCGCUCGACGUGUACGGCGUUACGUGGGCUCGCCUGUGUCUACUGACGAACAUUCGGUUGUUCGCGCGUCCCGUCGCAAUGUGACGUUGCCGCGCGACGGCGGCCCAUAGCCGCCUCAGUGCGUAAGGAAAAUUAGGAGAGCUGUGCCUAAUUUUGGGGAGCCAUGUUCCCGCCGUUACGGGUUGUUUAGGUUUUGUUAUGCAAGAGCCUGAGUGAGGGCUGCUUUGUCUAAACGACUGCAUUUGCUAUUUUCAGGUGACCGCCCCAGACGAUUUGUAAUGAUAUGUGACGCAUGUUGAACGGCAUCAGAGCUGUCCUGAUCGGGGCGCAGUGAAGUACGGUUUGCUGAACAGUGAUUGCCACUUGGACCGAUACUGAAGCCGAAAUAUUAUUGCCGGCUAUACUGACGGUGCAGUUGGCUGUAUCACCAUACUGAGUCACUGACAUUUGUACUAAAGUCGCCUAUCGUCCCGGACGAAUUUUCUACGGUCAUCACGGUCCACACUGAUCGCUGCAAGGUGUCACUACUGAAUGAUCCCAAUACAUACUGACCGACUAA